rnacentral:misc_RNA from 1 species
GAUGAAGAACGUAGCGAAAUGCGAUAAGUAAUGUGAAUUGCAGAAUUCAGUGAAUCAUCGAAUCUUUGAACGCACAUUGCGCCCGCCAGUAUUCUGGCGGGCAUGCCUGUUCGAGCGUCAUUUCAACCAUCAAGCCCCCGGCUUGUGUUGGGGACCUGCGGCUGCCGCAGGCCCUGAAAACCAGUGGCGGGCUCGCUAGUCACUCCGAGCGUAGUAAUACAUCUCGCUCAGGGCGUGCUGCGGGUUCCGGCCGUUAAAAAGCCUUAUUUGCCCAAGGUUGACCUCGGAUCAGGUAGGAAGACCCGCUGAACUUAAGCAUAUCAAUAAGCGGAGGA